rnacentral:rRNA from 1 species
CAAGGGGUGAAGCCUGCGGUUCAAUUGGAGUCAACGCCGGAAAUCUUACCGGGGGCGACAGCAGAGUGAAGGUCAAGCUGAAGACUUUACCAGACAAGCUGAGAGGAGGUGCAUGGCCGUCGCCAGCUCGUGCCGUGAGGUGUCCUGUUAAGUCAGGUAACGAGCGAGAUCCCUGCCUCUAGUUGCUACCAUUAUUCUCAGGAGUAGUGGAGCUAAUUAGAGGGACCGCCGUCGCUGAGACGGAGGAAGGUGGGGGCUACGGCAGGUCAGUAUGCCCCGAAACCCUCGGGCCACACGCGGGCUGCAAUGGUAAGGACAAUGAGUUUCGAUUCCGAAAGGAGGAGGCAAUCUCUAAACCUUACCACAGUUAUGAUUGAGGGCUGAAACUCGCCCUCAUGAAUAUGGAAUCCCUAGUAACCGCGUGUCACUAUCGCGCGGUGAAUACGUCCCUGCUCCUUGCACACACCGCCCGUAAUCAC